UUUUUUAAUUGAGGGCUAGAAUGAAAGGUGAAAACUAAUGGGAUAGUUUUAGUUAAUUAUUUUGAACUUAAACUAAAAGUAAAAAUGCUUUUGUAAAACUUUGGGACGAGAAGACCCUAGAAGCUUAAAAUUUAUAAUUUUUUAUUGGGGCAAUAUUUGAAGAAAACAAUUUUUACAAAAAUUAAUGGAAUAUUAGGUAAGUUACUCUAGGGAUAACAGCAUAAUUUAGUUAGCAAGUUCUUAUUAAUAAUUAAGUUUGUGACCUCGAUGUUGAAUUAAAAUAAAUGAUAAGUGAAGGGGCUUAUAUAUUUAGUCUGUUCGACUAUUAAAAUUUUACGUGAUCUGAGUU
rnacentral:rRNA from 1 species